CGGAAGUAAUGUGAAUAUUUACAUCAGCUGACAUCAAAUCAACUGACUACAAUUACAGUUUCGGUUUUUGUUAGAAUAACCAAAAAUAUAUUCACAUUUACGUUUGAUAACUUGAUUGUAAAUAGCUACUAAGAAUUUAUAUAUUCUAAAGCUAGGCUAUAGCGAAAAGAGGUUGCUAAAGCCAGCUAGCUUACUCAAUUCUAAACAAAGUAACGAUAUUUCAAGUGUUGUCGGGAUGUGUGUGUUUUAACGCGUGACUAUGGACAAGCUAGCCAUAGAUGUCGAUGAUAUUCAGUCCAGGCUAAUAGACCAUAGGCCUGUCGUACAAGGGGAGAUCUGCUAUUUUAUGAAUUUGAGGAAAAACUUGGAUUCAGAGAGAGACGUUUCCUGGACAACCUGAACAAAAUGGUGGUGGAGACCAAUGAGCAGUCGUUGCCCAAAUGUUCAGAGUACAUGCAUAAGCACCUCUGUGAUGCCCUCACACGAUUGGAGGAUGGGAAUCAAACGUCACAGAGGAUCCAGUAGAGGGAGCUAUAGGCAGACCAAGUAAAGACACAGGCUCUCUUCAAAGCCCAUAAAUUACCAGUAGUGAUUUAACCAUUCACAGGCAUGGAUUGUGACAACAGACCAGGGCCCAGUUUCUCGUUAUCGAUGGAACUUAGGCUUACGAGUGUAUGAACAAUGAAUCAUACAACAACCGAAGAAGUCGCUUAAUGUUUCCCAAAACACUAAGAAGGGAGAACUUUCACUAAGUCUGUCGUUGGAGCAGGUGUCAUUACUGAUAGGAUCGAAAGAAAGGCAGCGCUGCUCAAAGAUCAGCUUGGUCCAUUCAAAUCUUCCACAAUACUGACGAAGGGUCACAUAUAGGCUAUGGCUGCAAAUAUUAAGGUGGUUUAUUAACCUAAUGCUUAUGCCCAGCCUACACCUCAUUGCUCACAUGUUACACAUGAAAUAUAUUUAGGCAAAAAUUACCAACAGUAGCCUACAAUUAGCCAAAUAGAACUCAAUUGAUUGAACAAGAAAUAGAUUUCAAUAUGAUUGAAAUGUGUUGGCUAAUGUAGUUUCAUUUGAAGCAUAUUUUUAUCCUUUGCUUGUCUGUAACAUACAAAGACUUUGGUAACUUUGUAGUCAACUUUGUUCUGAAUUUAUAGGUGUUUACAGAGAGACAGAUAAACAUCUGGAGUCUGUGUUUAGCAGAGAUCUAUGUAUAAAGUUAUGUGGAAGGGAAAAAAAGCUCCUAACGAUGCACUUAGCUCUCCACUAAGAGUGGUCUGAGGCAGUUAGUAAAUAAAGAUUGUUUUCAAGUGCAACUUUAGUUCUAAUGGUUUUGGGAAACAACUCAGGGAUUUACCAAUGCUCCUACAAAGGUUCUAACGAUGAACUUGGUUUUAAGAUGCUUUUGGGAAACCGGGCCCGGGGGCGGAUCAUUUGGCACUAAACAGGAGAUAGCUGUUUGAAACUGAGUACCACCCAAAUCUCCCCAACAAGAGUGUUUUCAUUUCCAAUUUCAUUUUUGUCUAGUUCAGAUUUUUUUUUGUCUUCGAACCUGACCCAGAUCCUUGCAUGUUGUGCACCUUAGAGCACCCAGUUGCAGGUGAUCAUAGACAGACAGAAGGAGGAGGAGGAGGAGGAGGACGAAGAGCAUACCAAGGACAGAAGGAUCUGGCCAAAUUCUCUCACUUUUGAUCCUCGGUCUGUCUGUCUGUCUGCUUGAAAUUAAGUUGUUGAAUUUGAUUGAUGCGGUACUUAGUCGUUGGCAUUAACAGAGGACUUCUGAGGACAAAAGUCAACAGUUUCCAGAUCACAAAUGACAAAGUGUGAUUAACAACGUGGCAUUUUCACAGCCCUUCAAAAUCACAUUUUUCUGGCCUAAGCACAUGGAAUAUGUAUGUCAAGUUCUGGAAAAAUGACAUUUUUAAACCAUAAAUUACAUGAUUGUUCCUUGGCUGCUAAACUUGUUUUUUUAAUGGAAUUAUGCUAGGAGGUGUUGAUAGAUGUGUGUUUUCUAUGGUAGGGCAGAUUUUCAAACCGUCAAAUCAUUUUGGCAACAAGGAUCUUGGUCCAGGAGGGGAUUGAAUGUCUCCGCUGUAACCAAGAAACUUGAUCUUGACAUCUGGCCACUUAGCUAGCCAGGUUAUUAUUAUUAUUAUAUAUAUAUAUAUAAAUAUAUAUAUAUUUUAAAUUUUAACCUUUAUUUAACUAGGCAAGUCAGUUGAGAACAAACUCUUAUUUACAAUGACGGCCUAAGUUAGCAAACCAAAUGCAUAGCUGGAGCCCUGAGUUGGAUAUAAUUUGACACAUCUUAGAUUUCUUAUAGUUAUAUUUAUAGAUAUAAACAGUGGCGUAGCACUCCCCCCCCCCCCCCCCCCCCCAAAAAAAGAAGUUUGAACAGUAUUGAAAGUUAUAACGUUGGUAUUUUGAAAUACCCCGGUAUAUGGUAUCAACGGUAUAUCGCCCAAACCUAAUGUUUGCCUCCAACUGAAUAAGAAAAUAAAGAUUUUGCCACUGGUUUAGAUAUUUGAAGCUUCAGGCGAGUGAAUGUCAGAAGUACUAUUCAAAGCUGGGUUGUCAACGGCACAGGUCAACAUCUCAAACUUUACUCACUGAGCAGUUUUCCUAACUAGGCGUGCCAGAUUAAGGUACAGUGAACCUUUGACAUCAAGUACAACUAGCAACCUCUCAAAAUAAGUACAUCAGAAAUGGUUUUAGUGAAGCAAACUCAAGCUGUCAGAAAUGGACAUUAUUUAGUGGUGUUUUCCUGCACCUCUUAUGUACCUUGUUAAAUGGAGAGGUAUACUUGUAGCGCUGUAUGAAGUGUUUUGUUUAAAGACAGUAUUUGCACUGGGCAAUGGCAAGCUGUUUAGACUGAUAGAUGGAUGGGCACGCUGACACAUUCCUGACCUGCUGGGAACAGGAUUCAUCUUGGCAGAAAGUGACAGAACAAAUAUUUUAAAUGGCUCUCAUGAACACAGAAUGUGGGCACGGACGCCUUAAAUAAGACUUCAUUGUUGCAGACCUCAUCAAUCAGUAUAAGUAAAUUAAAGCGUUGCUAAACUCUGCAUGA